GCGUUUGUAGCUCAGUGGAUAGAGCGUCUGCCUCCGGAGCAGAAGGUCGCAAGUUCGAUCCUUGCCAAGCGCA
rnacentral:tRNA from 1 species